rnacentral:tRNA from 1 species
CAGGGAGACAACAAAAUGUUUAAUAUUAUUAUUUUGUCACCUUAGGUCGAUCGGUACCUCACGUUCUUAAUUUAUUAAGAAUUUCAUUUCCUAAGUUUUUCUAGGUCACACCCAUUAUUUUUCCUGGGCCAUUAGCUCAGGUGGUUAGAGCGCACCCCUGAUAAGGGUGAGGUCCCUGGUUCAAGUCCAGGAUGGCCCAUAUCUCUAUGUUGGGGGUAUAGCUCAGUUGGUAGAGCGCCUGCUUUGCAAGCAGGAUGUCAGCGGUUCGAGUCCGCUUACCUCCACUGAUUACCACCUCUUCCAUAAUUUGUAGAAAGGAAAUUUUUUGAGUUGUGAUCAAAUUCUGAACGAAUCUAGCUUCCUAAUGAAAUCAUUAAGAUGCUGGACUCAUUGAAUUAAUUUCAUUGUUUUCAGAGAACCUUGACAACUGCAUAGAUUUUUUUAAAGACAAUAAGCAUCUUUAAUGAUGCAGAUUUAUUAUUUGUGCGAAUGCAUUAAUAACAAUUCUAUUAAGCUGAUGCUUCAAUUUUGAAGUUAUU